UACAGAGGUCUCAAGCGUUGUUCGGAUUCAUUGGGCGUAAAGGGUGCGUAGGCGGCGCGGUAAGUCGGGUGUGAAAUCUCGGAGCUUAACUCCGAAACUGCAUUCGAUACUGCCGUGCUGGAGGACUGGAGAGGAGACUGGAAUUCACGGUGUAGCGGUGAAAUGCGUAGAUAUCGUAAGGAAGACCAGUGGCGAAGGCGGGUCUCUGGACAGUUCCUGACGCUGAGGCACGAAGGCCAGGGGAGCAAAC
rnacentral:rRNA from 1 species